CAACAGCCACGGUAAUACAGAGGGUGCGAGCGUUAAUCGGAUUUACUGGGCGUAAAGCGUGCGUAGGCGGCUUCUUAAGUCGGAUGUGAAAUCCCUGAGCUUAACUUAGGAAUUGCAUUCGAUACUGGGAAGCUAGAGUAUGGGAGAGGAUGGUAGAAUUCCAGGUGUAGCGGUGAAAUGCGUAGAGAUCUGGAGGAAUACCGAUGGCGAAGGCAGCCAUCUGGCCUAAUACUGACGCUGAGGUACGAAAGCAUGGGGAGCAAACAGGAUUAGAUACCCCCGUAGUCCCUGUCUCUUAUAC
rnacentral:rRNA from 1 species